rnacentral:rRNA from 1 species
CGGGUGAGUAACACGUGAGCAACCUGCCGGGAAGCCCGGGAUAGCCCUCCGAAAGGAGGAUUAAUACCGGAUGUGGCCACCCUGCGAUUGCGGGGGAAGCUAAAGGAUUUAUUCACUUCCCGAGGGGCUCGCGGCCCAUCAGCUUGUUGGUGAGGGUAACGGCCCACCAAGGCGACAACGGGUAGCUGGUCUGAGAGGAUGGUCAGCCACACUGGAACUGAGACACGGUCCAGACACCUACGGGUGGCAGCAGUCGAGAAUCAUUCGCAAUGGGGGAAACCCUGACGAUGCGACGCCGCGUGGAGGAUGAAGGCCUUAGGGUUGUAAACUCCUGUCAAGAGGGAAUAAGCAAGUGAAGGUACCUCAAGAGGAAGGGGCGGCUAAUUCCGUGCCAGCAGCCGCGGUAACACGGAAGCCCCGAGCGUUGUUCGGAUUCAUUGGGCGUAAAGGGUGCGUAGGCGGCGCGGAAAGUCCGGCGUGAAAGGCAGGGGCUCAACCUCUGGACUGCGUUGGAUACUUCCGUGCUUGAGGACUGGAGGGGAGACUGGAAUUCACGGUGUAGCAGUGAAAUGCGUAGAUAUCGUGAGGAAGACCGGUGGCGAAGGCGAGUCUCUGGACAGAUCCUGACGCUGAGGCACGAAGGCUGGGGGAGCGAACAGGAUUAGAUACCCUGGUAGUCCCAGCAGUAAACGAUGUGAGCUUGAUGUGGGGGGAUUCGACCCCUUCCGUGUCGAAGCUAACGCGAUAAGCUCACCGCCUGAGGAGUACGGCCGCAAGGCUAAAACUCAAAGAAAUUGACGGGGACCCGCACAAGCGGUGGAGUAUGUGGCUUAAUUCGAUGCAACGCGAAGAACCUUACCUGGCCUUGACAUGCAUUGUGUCGUCGGUGAAAGCCGGCUAGUCCUGGAAACAGGACGCUUUGCACAGGUGCUGCAUGGCUGUCGUCAGCUCGUGUCGUGAGAUGUUGGGUUAAGUCUCGCAUCGAGCGCAUCCCUUGUGGUCAGUUACUAACCGGCUUAGCCGGAGGAGUCUGGCCAGACUGCCCUGUCAAACGGGGAGGAAGGUGGGGUCGCCGUCAAGUCAGUAUGG